rnacentral:lncRNA from 1 species
CAUCCAAAUAAAUUGUCUAAAUAGAUGUGCAAAUUAGUAAUCUAAAUUAUCACAAAGUGUGCACAAUUUAGAUGCUAAGCAAUUGUCAAAAUACAAAAAAUAAAGUUAAACAAAUGCAAAAUAAAGUUGCAAAAUAGAUUCUAAGCAAUUUUUGUCGUCUUUUUCCAAUGAUGGUGCGCCUUUUCUUCAACUUCAUCCAUAAGUUGAUUGUAGCUACUAUGAACCACAUCUAGCGCAAGCUUCAUCCUUGCAUCUUGGCAUACCUGUGUGCAUACAAUAAAAAUGUUAGAUAAAAACUAUGCAAUAACUUGCAUAACCAAAUAAAAAAAUUAAAUGCAAAACAGAAUAUUAUUAAAGGGAAAAUAUUUUUAUUUAGCAAACUCACUCUAUUAUUUUAACAAAUUUCUCUUCUUUGUUUUUUUUUUAUUUUUUAUUUUUAAGUUUGUCUGGAGUAGACAUUAAAAUAAACACACAGUGCUCACUUGUGUAAAGUUAUAGUUAUCAUUCACGCUACAUUCUUGCAUCCAAGCUGCAACCCAGACUCCACAAUCGUUACUAUAAAUUAAAUAUAAAAUUAAAAUUAGAAUAAUAGUAGUGGAUUUUAUUCACUUUAAAGAAAGAUGAAUAAAUAAAUGAAAGAAAAUUACGAUCCACAAUUCUGGCUUGGGAACCCUCUAGGUUCUG